UACAGAGGGUGCAAGCGUUAAUCGAAAUUACUGGGCGUAAAGGGUGCGUAGGUGGCAGCAUAAGUUAGAUGUGAAAGUCCUGGGCUUAACCUGGGAAGGGCGUCUAAUACUGUGCGGCUAGAGUACUGUAGAGGAAAGUGGAAUUUCCGGUGUAGCAGUGAAAUGCGUAGAGAUCGGAAGGAACAUCAGUGGCGAAGGCGACUUUCUGGACAGAUACUGACACUGAGGCACGAAAGCGUGGGGAGCAAACAGG
rnacentral:rRNA from 1 species